rnacentral:rRNA from 1 species
AAGUAUAAAAUGCUUUAUACUGUGAAACUGCGAAUGGCUCAUUAAAUCAGUUAUAGUUUAUUUGAUGGUACCUACUACUCGGAUAACCGUAGUAAUUCUAGAGCUAAUACGUGCGUAAAUCCCGACUUCUGGAAGGGACGUAUUUAUUAGAUAAAAGGCCGACCGGGUUCUCCCGACUCGCGGUGAAUCAUGAUAACUUCACGAAUCGCAUGGCCUUGCGCCGGCGAUGUUUCAUUCAAAUUUCUGCCCUAUCAACUUUUGAUGGUAGGAUAGAGGCCUACCAUGGUGGUAACGGGUGACGGAGGAUUAGGGUU